AGAGUUUGAUCAUGGCUCAGAUUGAACGCUGGCGGCAUGCCUUACACAUGCAAGUCGAACGGCAGCACGAGAGCUUGCUCUUGGUGGCGAGUGGCGAACGGGUGAGUAAUAUAUCGGAACGUACCCUAGAGUGGGGGAUAACGUAGCGAAAGUUACGCUAAUACCGCAUACGAUCUACGGAUGAAAGUGGGGGAUCGCAAGACCUCAUGCUCAUGGAGCGGCCGAUAUCUGAUUAGCUAGUUGGUGGGGUAAAAGCUCACCAAGGCGACGAUCAGUAGCUGGUCUGAGAGGACGACCAGCCACACUGGAACUGAGACACGGUCCAGACUCCUACGGGAGGCAGCAGUGGGGAAUUUUGGACAAUGGGCGCAAGCCUGAUCCAGCAAUGCCGCGUGAGUGAAGAAGGCCUUCGGGUUGUAAAGCUCUUUUGUCAGGGAAGAAACGGUGGACUCUAAUACAGAUCACUAAUGACGGUACCUGAAGAGUAAGCACCGGCUAACUACGUGCCAGCAGCCGCGGUAAUACGUAGGGUGCAAGCGUUAAUCGGAAUUACUGGGCGUAAAGCGUGCGCAGGCGGUUGUGCAAGACAGAUGUGAAAUCCCCGGGCUCAACCUGGGAAUUGCAUUUGUGACUGCACGGCUAGAGUGUGUCAGAGGGGGGUAGAAUUCCACGUGUAGCAGUGAAAUGCGUAGAGAUGUGGAGGAAUACCGAUGGCGAAGGCAGCCCCCUGGGAUAACACUGACGCUCAUGCACGAAAGCGUGGGGAGCAAACAGGAUUAGAUACCCUGGUAGUCCACGCCCUAAACGAUGUCUACUAGUUGUCGGGUCUUAAUUGACUUGGUAACGCAGCUAACGCGUGAAGUAGACCGCCUGGGGAGUACGGUCGCAAGAUUAAAACUCAAAGGAAUUGACGGGGACCCGCACAAGCGGUGGAUGAUGUGGAUUAAUUCGAUGCAACGCGAAAAACCUUACCUACCCUUGACAUGUCUGGAAUCCUUGAGAGAUCAGGGAGUGCUCGAAAGAGAAUCAGAACACAGGUGCUGCAUGGCUGUCGUCAGCUCGUGUCGUGAGAUGUUGGGUUAAGUCCCGCAACGAGCGCAACCCUUGUCAUUAGUUGCUACGAAAGGGCACUCUAAUGAGACUGCCGGUGACAAACCGGAGGAAGGUGGGGAUGACGUCAAGUCCUCAUGGCCCUUAUGGGUAGGGCUUCACACGUCAUACAAUGGUACAUACAGAGGGCCGCCAACCCGCGAGGGGGAGCUAAUCCCAGAAAGUGUAUCGUAGUCCGGAUUGUAGUCUGCAACUCGACUACAUGAAGUUGGAAUCGCUAGUAAUCGCGGAUCAGCAUGUCGCGGUGAAUACGUUCCCGGGUCUUGUACACACCGCCCGUCACACCAUGGGAGCGGGUUUCACCAGAAGUGGGUAGCCUAACCGCAAGGAGGGCGCUCACCACGGUGGGAUUCGUGACUGGGGUGAAGUCGUAACAAGGUA
rnacentral:rRNA from 1 species